AUGCACGCUGGCGGCGUGCCUAAUACCUGCAAGUCGAGCGCACGGACGAGAAGCUUGCUUCUCUGAUGUUAGCGGCGGACGGGUGAGUAACACGUGGAUAACCUACCUAUAAGACUGGGAUAACUUCGGGAAACCGGAGCUAAUACCGGAUAAUAUUUUGAACCGCAUGGUUCCAAAGUGAAAGACGGUCUUGCUGUCACUUAUAGAUGGAUCCGCGCUGCAUUAGCUAGUUGGUAAGGUAACGGCUUACCAAGGCAACGAUGCAUAGCCGACCUGAGAGGGUGAUCGGCCACACUGGAACUGAGACACGGUCCAGACUCCUACGGGAGGCAGCAGUAGGGAAUCUUCCGCAAUGGGCGAAAGCCUGACGGAGCAACGCCGCGUGAGUGAUGAAGGUCUUCGGAUCGUAAAACUCUGUUAUUAGGGAAGAACAUAUGUGUAAGUAACUGUGCACAUCUUGACGGUACCUAAUCAGAAAGCCACGGCUAACUACGUG
rnacentral:rRNA from 1 species